rnacentral:tRNA from 1 species
ACCUGGGUGGCUCAGUCGGUCAAGUGUCUGACUUCAGCUCAGGUCUGAUCUCAUGGUUCGUGGGUUCGAGUCCCACAUCAUGCU